AAGAGACAGCAGUAGCCACGGGAAUACAGAGGGUGCGAGCGUUAAUCGGAUUUACUGGGCGUAAAGCGUGCGUAGGCUGCUUUUUAAGUCGGAUGUGAAAUCCCUGAGCUUAACUUAGGAAUUGCAUUCGAUACUGGGAAGCUAGAGUAUGGGAGAGGAUGGUAGAAUUCCAGGUGUAGCGGUGAAAUGCGUAGAGAUCUGGAGGAAUACCGAUGGCGAAGGCAGCCAUCUGGCCUAACACUGACGCUGAGGUACGAAAGCAUGGGGAGCAAACAGGAUUAGAUACCCGGGUAGUCCCUGUCUCUUAUAC
rnacentral:rRNA from 1 species